CCUACGGGGGGCAGCAGUGGGGAAUAUUGGACAAUGGGCGAAAGCCUGAUCCAGCCAUGCCGCGUGUGUGAAGAAGGCCUUCGGGUUGUAAAGCACUUUCAGUGGGGAAGAAAGCCUUGGGGCUAAUACCCUCGAGGAAGGACAUCACCCACAGAAGAAGCACCGGCUAACUCCGUGCCAGCAGCCGCGGUAAUACGGAGGGUGCGAGCGUUAAUCGGAAUUACUGGGCGUAAAGCGCGCGUAGGCGGUCUGAUAAGCCGGUUGUGAAAGCCCCGGGCUCAACCUGGGAACGGCAUCCGGAACUGUCAGGCUAGAGUGCAGUAGAGGAAGGUAGAAUUCCCGGUGUAGCGGUGAAAUGCGUAGAGAUCGGGAGGAAUACCAGUGGCGAAGGCGGCCUUCUGGACUGACACUGACGCUGAGGUGCGAAAGCGUGGGUAGCAAACAGGAUUAGAUACCCCGGUAGUC
rnacentral:rRNA from 1 species